rnacentral:rRNA from 1 species
GUAAUAGCUCACUGGUCGAGUCGGCCUGCGCGGAAGAUGUAACGGGGCUAAACCAUGCACCGAAGCUGCGGCAGCGACGCUGAUGCGUUGUUGGGUAGGGGAGCGUUCUGUAAGCCUGUGAAGGUGUGUCGUGAGGCAUGCUGGAGGUAUCAGAAGUGCGAAUGCUGACAUAAGUAACGAUAAAGCGGGUGAAAAGCCCGCUCGCCGGAAGACCA